rnacentral:lncRNA from 10 species
UGGAAUUUAAGUUUUUAUUUAAAUAUUUUAAAUGCCAACAUUGAUGCAUUUUGCUAUUUUACAUACUCUACACUUUCUAAAUGAUAAUACUAGCUUACAUUGAUGUAGUAUUUUAUGGUUUUCAGGGCACUAAUAUACACAUGAUGAUACUUAAUUCUCUCAGAAAACCUUUGGCAAAGACACUUUCUACAUCUUGAAGGCAAGGAAUCUGAAUCUUGAAGAGAUUAAAUGAAUUGUCCAAAGUCACGUAAGUACUGAAUGGCAGGGGUGGAAAUCCACAUCCUUUGAUUCUGAGUGUAGCAUUCUUCCUAAUGAACUAUAAAAGCUUUCUGUUUAUUGGCUAAUGUCAUUAUAAACAGCAAUAAAAUCAAUCAUCCUUAGUCUUCCCCUUGUGAAUUUAUAAGGAAUAAAAUGUACUCUUCAUUGUAGAAAGAAAAAAAAUCACUGUAUUAAGAAACAAGGUUAGAUUUUUGUAACCUACACACGAAUCUUGCAUAUUCCCUUAGAACUAUUUUAUAUUAUGUAGAAAGUUACCUUUUUACUCAUUUUGGUAUAGGUGGGGGUUUGGGAGAAGGAAAAUCAUGAACACACAUUCUUCUACUCUGGAGAAGUGGGGAAGGUGACCUGGGAAACCAUCUGAAAGGGAGCAGGAUGGAUUCUAUAAAAUAUAGAGUGUUCAAUGAAAACAACCUGAUGCUCCUCCCAGUACCAUCACAUUUUUCUAGCUGCAUAUCCUUAGGAACCACAUUCUACUUGUGUAGGAGCUGCGACAGUAACCAACUCAUCCUGCCCUACUCACAGUAUAGCAUCUUUAGGCAUUGACUACAAUCAGCCAAGUCACCGGCUGAGGGGAAGAACAAGAACCAACCUUGAACUAUGAUCUAAGACAAGGUGUCCAAUCUUUUGGCUUCCCUGGGCCCCAUUGAAAGAAGAAUUGUCUCGGGCUACAUAUAAAAUACACCAACACUAACGAUAACUGAUGAGCUUAAAAAAAAAAUCACAAACACACAAAUCUCAUAAGGUUCUAAGAAAGUUUACGAAUUUGUGUUGGGCGGCAUUCAAAGCCAUGCUAGGUCGUGUGUGGCCCAGGUGGGCCACAGGUUGAACAAGCUUGAUCUAAGAUAAAGUGGUUCUGACCUUCAGCCUAAAUUCCUCUCACUAGCAUUCGAGAUGGAAUGAGGUCAGGGCACACACUUUCAUGUUUUCUUGCUACAAAUUACUUGGAUGAGAAAUUUCCCUCUGAAAAUACUAAAAAAGUGAAGAGGAAAACAGCUACUUCACCCUUAAUUCUGACCAAGAAGGGAAAAUUGUGAACUAAAAGGCAGCCACAUGUUCCUUGGGAAAGAAACAAUCACAUGAUCUUCGUUUAAUUAGCCAGAUAAUAAAACCACGGAUUUGUUAGUCAAAAUAUAUUUGACUAUUCUGUGCCAGACAUUGUUCUAGGCACAGGAGAGAACAAGACAAAGACCCAUAGCCUCGGAUUGCUGACAUUUCUAUGUACAGAGAAAAAUAGACAAAUAAACAUUAAGAUUUCAACAUUUAUCCUAGAGUUUAGAAAAUCUAACUUUAAUUGUUUUUAGAAAUUUUUAAAAUCUAAAGUCCUAAUACCAGACAAAUGGUUCCAAUUUUUCUUUUUGAUUUUUAAAAAAUUUACAAUAAGAUACUUUGAAAAUGGAAACCUGGUUUUAAAGUGAAAAUGUAUUCAGUGACUAAUGAAAUUUCCAUGGGAACAGUGGAAAGAAUACUGUCACAAAGGAUAGUUGCCAUCUUUUGAUGGUUAUUUAAAGUCUUGGAUAUGUUAGAAAAUGUAUCGCAAUUUUAAAAUCAGUAUUCUUUGUUACUUUGUAUCAAUUCAAUUAAGGCAACAUCCUAUUCCAUAGUGAAAAUAUAGCUAUUCUGUUAAACUCCAGCUUGGAAUACAUUUUAAAGUGCAUUCUUAAUAAAAAAUUUUAAAUAGGAGAACAUGGAACAAAAUUAAAAGUAUUCAGGAAAAUAAUUUUAUACCUAGAGACACUAGAGAAGAAGGUUAACUCAAGAGUGACCAAAGACUUUAGAUGUUCUAGUAUUUUUUUUUCUUUUUAGAAAUUAGACAAAUUUAAUUUGUGGAAAAUUGCUAGAAUGAAUUCAUGAAUAUAGUUUGCGAGCAUGUAGGAAAUGAAAUGGUGAUUUUUAGGGGAUCAUGGGUAUCUUGGUAACAGAUCAUGCUUUUUUAAUGAGCAGAACAAAAUGUGCCACAAACACAGUGCCUUGGUAUUUGUAAAUCAUUUUCCAAAAUUUUUCACAAUAUCUAUAUAAAUAAGAUUUUUAAAAUUGUAUGUAUAACACUAUAGUUGGCAAGUUUCAUUCCUGGUUCCACAAUAACACUGAUUAGUGGUUGGAUGGAAAGCCGGCAGGAAUGUGUUGUGUCUGUUCCUGUUUAACAUUUCUGUAAGUGAUUUGGUGAGGAUACAGAAGGCAUGUUAUUGAAUGUGUAGAUGGACAAAGUUUAGGGUAAAAGUUAAUGUGUUUGAAAAAAGAGGUUAUAUUAAAAAUACCUUCAUUGACUGGAACAAUUGGAAAGGACAUACUUGUCUGCCUACAGGGACAGAAAACUCAUUACCAUGGUGGCUUUUUCAUUGGGUUUGCUAGGGCCAGAAUCCAGAACUCAUUGAGUACUUCUUCUUAUAGCAUAUAUAGCAAUUCAUUAACAUUGGGGAAUAAUAAUAAUACAAUAGUCAUUGUCCAGAAAGGACUAACUUUAAUGGUAAAAG